GAGAAAUGCCCUGCAAUUACUAAGCCCACUGAUGAGCUGGUGAAUGAUGGGAAGGAGGCUUGUCAAGCGGUCCUAAAGCCGGCCGUGGACUGCGUGAAUGCAGUGAAGCAGUACGGUUCCGACAAGUACAACCAGGGAAAGGAACAGGUGGAAAAAGUUGUGCAGAUGGGAACAAACACUGUUAAAUCCGUGAAAGACAUGGGAAUGACUGUGGUCUCAAAGUCCAUGGAAACGACUUACGGACAGAUUGUGGCUGGCAAAAUGAACGACGCCCUGACCCUGUCUGAGGACUACAUCAACAAAUACUUGCCCGCAGAGGAAGAGGAGGAGAAAGAGAAUGAGGAUGAAAAAGAGGAGGUAGAAAUGGACGAGUACCCCCAGGACCCAGUGACCAGAGCCCAGGCCCUCACCACCAAGGUCAGACGCAGGAUGUACAAGCGCGCCAUCAGGGAGUUCAAGGGGAUUCAGAUGCGCAGCCAGGAAAACCUACAGAAGCUCAACUUCACCGUUGAUUUGAUUCAGUAUGCCAAGACAAAUAUGGACUCAGCUAAAGAGAAAUUAGGAGAAACUGUGGAUGCUGCUCAGAACAAGAUGUCCAGUACCUGGAAAGAGAUCCAGGCGGAGAACCCCGACCUUCCCGAUACUGUAGAAGGCAGAACCAUCGCAGUGGCUCGACAUGUAAGCCAGCAGUUACAACAGAGUGUGGCAAGAGUAACCUCCAUUUUACCAGGAUCUCUUCAGCCUGCAGCUGUACAGGAAAGACUUCAGGAGGCCAAGAAUUUCACAGAGGACCUGUACAAAUCAUUUCAAAAAGUUGAAAGAUAUGAGGACGUCCCUGCCUGGAUUCUGACCCAGACCAAGGAGAGGCUGACCUACUUACAGGACACCCUCAGUUUCCUGACGGACAAGUUACUGACAGGACCCCUCAACUGGAUGGGUUUGAAAAGAAAGGAGGAAAAGGUUGAAGAAAAAGUAGAAUAAUAUGUGUGGAUUUUGUGGACUUGUAAUAUGAAGCUCUGAUCUAAUGUUUGAAAGGACAAUCGCUUGUUAACUCUUUUGUUUGUUAAUUUCUUAAUUCUUGGUUUAUGAUAAUUACAUAAAAACAAAUCUUCAAGCUUUACUUAUUAUAACAGCAAUACUUAACAAAUCAUUUGAGACACCAUGUAUAUGUAGCAAAAUUAUAUGAUAAUGUUAAUCAAAAAUCAAACACUUGUCUUUCAUGUUCAAACAAGAUAUAUUUUAAGUGGCAUUCCCUAUAUUUUCCUUUGUAUUGCUUUCAAGCAUGAAUAAAAUGAAAUGAAUGUU
rnacentral:misc_RNA from 1 species